rnacentral:rRNA from 1 species
AGCGAACGCUGGCGGCAGGCUUAACACAUGCAAGUCGAGCGAGAACCGUAGCAAUACGGGGACAGCGGCGAAAGGGACAGUAAUGUGUAGGUACCUACCUCCGGGUUCGGGAUAGCUGCGGGAAACUGCAGGUAAUACCGAAUAACGUCUCCGGACCAAAGGUGUGAUUCCACCUGGAGAGGGGCCUGCAUCCUAUUAGCUUGUUGGCGGGGUAACGGCCCACCAAGGCGACGAUGGGUAGCGGGUGUGAGAGCACGACCCGCGUCAUUGGGACUGAGACACUGCCCAGGCACCUACGGGUGGCUGCAGUCGAGGAUCUUCGGCAAUGGGCGCAAGCCUGACCGAGCGACGCCGCGUGCGGGAUGAAGGCCUUCGGGUUGUAAACCGCUGUCGUAGAGGAGGAAGUGCAGGGGGGUUCUCCCCUCUGUUUGACCUAUUCUAGGAGGAAGGACGGGCUAAGUUCGUGCCAGCCGCCGCGGUAA